GCACUUUGGAUAGUCAGAAAUGUGAAGGAGGUUUCCAGGCUCAAAUUUUUGGUGGUUUGACAACUCCCAGCUGACCCCAGGAAUUCACAACCAUGCACACCGCGAUGCCAAGGCAGGAGUCAGAACAUGGCAGGACAGAGUUUUCAAAUGAAACAAAAAUUAGAAAAAAUGAAGUGCUUAAAGUGUGAGGCUUCCCCCCAUCAUUGCCCUGGGACUGCAGCACAGAGAGCCAGUGUACACUCACCACAGCCAUGGAAAAGAAAAGAGAAGGAUUUUUUCAGG